UACGGAGGGGGCUAGCGCUGUUCGGAAUUACUGGGCGUAAAGCGCGCGUAGGCGGACCUGUAAGUCGGGGGUGAAAUCCCGAGGCUCAACCUCGGAACUGCCUUCGAUACUGCGGGUCUCGAGUCCGGGAGAGGUGAGUGGAAUUCCUAGUGUAGAGGUGAAAUUCGUAGAUAUUAGGAAGAACACCAGUGGCGAAGGCGGCUCACUGGCCCGGUACUGACGCUGAGGCGCGAAAGCGUGGGGAGCAAACAGG
rnacentral:rRNA from 1 species